CUUGCUUCUCUUGAGAGCGGCGGACGGGUGAGUAAUGCCUAGGAAUCUGCCUGGUAGUGGGGGAUAACGUUCGGAAACGGACGCUAAUACCGCAUACGUCCUACGGGAGAAAGCAGGGGACCUUCGGGCCUUGCGCUAUCAGAUAAGCCUAGGUCGGAUUAGCUAGUUGGUGGGGUAAUGGCUCACCAAGGCGACGAUCCGUAACUGGUCUGAGAGGAUGAUCAGUCACACUGGAACUGAGACACGGUCCAGACUCCUACGGGAGGCAGCAGUGGGGAAUAUUGGACAAUGGGCGAAAGCCUGAUCCAGCCAUGCCGCGUGUGUGAAGAAGGUCUUCGGAUUGUAAAGCACUUUAAGUUGGGAGGAAGGGCAGUAAAUUAAUACUUUGCUGUUUUGACGUUACCGACAGAAAUAAGCACCGG
rnacentral:rRNA from 1 species